CUCCUGUGGCUUUGCAGCAGCAAGGCUCCUUCUCAAAGGCUCUCCUUGAAGACUGAGAAUUAGGGUCAAUGUACUUGAGCAUGAGGAGGAACCUCAUUGGAGUUUUCUCCUUCCCUAAUACUCAUUUUGUAGUGCCCCUGGAUAGAAGGGUCUGCACAAGGGCUUGUGUGACCUCAGGCAGGGCAUGCUGUGGAACCUGUUGGCAGAGUCCCCAGAUACAGACAGGCUCCAAUACAUCUUGGAGUGUCAACUUCUGCAUCAGGUCCAGAGUGUCCCAGGAGAGAGCCAAGGCUGUAAAGAGCAGCAGAGCCCUGUUCUGAUUCACCACCUCCCAUCCUGAAUUUGAUAUCUCAGCAUAGUUCCCCAAACUAGGGAACGUAUUGGCUUAGCUGUGACUGUCCAUCAGUGACCCAGGUAAGGACAUAGGCCGGCUGGCCAGGCAGGGGAUUUAGCAGCUCUACUAACUGCUGCUACAACAGAGGUAAAGAACUCCUUCUGGGAAAUGGGACCCAAUAGAAUAGUGACACUGACAGAACCCAGGCAGUAGGACUCCAGAGGAAAUGAUCCACCUCCCAUCUGAGACUGACCCCCAUUGGGUAAUGGGAGCCCUGUUGAAACUCACCAAAUCCUCUGAGAUUGGCCCCAGCUGGAGGAUGAGUCUGUCUCUCUCCUUCUCCCCAUUUUCCAUUUAG